rnacentral:piRNA from 1 species
UGUCUUCAACUUCGGCUGCAUACUGCCUG